rnacentral:rRNA from 1 species
AACGUAGGAGACAAACGUUAUCCGGAGUUACUGGGCGUAAAGGGCGUGUAGGUGGUUUCGUAAGUCUGGCGUGAAAUUUCUCGGCUUAACCGAGGCAGGUCGUCGGAUACUGCGGAACUUGAGGACGGUAGAGGCGUGUGGAAUUCCGGGUGUAGUGGUGAAAUGCGUAGAGAUCCGGAGGAACACCAGUGGCGAAGGCGACACGCUGGGGCCGUACCUGACACGUGAUGCGCGACAGCAUGGGGAGCAAAGCGGGAGUUAGAAA